rnacentral:tRNA from 1 species
GUCCCGUUGGUGUAGUGGUAACAUUAUUGCCUUCCAAGCAAUAGCCUCGGGUUCAAUUCCCGAGCGGGACA